GAACACAGCAUUGCAUAUAAAAGGAAACGUUGAUCUGCAGGAUCCCACUCCUGGAUUUCACCAUGUGGGGGUUCCUUCUUUGUCACCUUGUGGCCUUGGCCGCAUGUGCACAUAUCAGUUAUGAGCCUGGCUUGAACCCUAAGAAAACCUAUGAGUACAGAUAUGAGGGAAUGGUGAAUAUUGGGCGUGGCAUGCCAAACCUUGCAGAGUCUGGUGUGAGACUUGUGUGCAAAGUCAAGAUCAUUGGUGUGUCUGCACAAACAUUCCUUCUCCGGGUUUCAAACUUGAACUUCGAGGAGUUCAAUGGCAUCCCAGGGAAGAAUGCAUUUGAUACCUCACCAAAGCUUACCAAACGGAUUGCUGCCGAGCUCAGCAAACCCUUCAUGUUCGAGUACGCCAAGGGACGGGUUGGUGACAUUCGCACCUCUGCUGAAAUAUCUGACACCAUCGUCAAUAUUGUGAGAGGCAUACUUGGGUUCUUCCAAGUCACAGUCAAGACCACCCAAAGAGUGUAUGAGCUUGAGGAGUUCGGGAUCCAUGGAUUGUGCCAGAGUACGUAUGCCAAUGAGGAGGAUGCCAACUCCCAAGAAUUGUCGGUCACCCAAAUUGUUGACAUUAAUAACUGCAAAAAAAAGGCAGCCAUUUACAGAGGAAUGGCACUUGCUGUCGACAACAAACUUUCCAAAGAGAGAGGUGACUCCGUCAUUUCAACAGUGAGAUAUGUCUACACAGUGAAACCAACAGUUGACGGAGGCCUGAUCAAGAAGGCUCACGCAUUGGAGCGCCAGCAUUUCUCCCCAUUCAACGUGAAAGGGGGGAACUCCAAACUGCAAGCCACGAAAGAGCUUGUGCUGCUCAGUGUAACUGACACAGUGGUGACCCCUGCUGUUGGUCCCAUGAUUAGCCGAGGGAAUCUAGUUUACAAGUUUGUGAAAGUGUUGGCCCAAAUCCCCAUUUUGAUGAAGAAGUUGGAUGAUCCAGUGCCCAAGAUUGCAGACAUGAUCAAACGUUUGGCCCAAGCGAACAUCUACCAGACGGACAGUGCAACAAGUGAGGAUGUUGUUGUUCUUUUCCAACUCCUGCGUGUGACAUCGCUAGAAAACCACGAGGUUCUGUGGAAACAGCUCUCAGGGAAUGAUGAACACAGACGGUGGCUUUUGGACACGAUUGUUGAAGUUGCAGAUGCAAGAGUCCUCAAAUUCCUGAAGAACAGAUUCAAUGCCGGUGAUGUAUCAGCCAACGAGGCUGGACAAACACUUCUGAUCGCAUUUAAUCAUGUAGCAGCAGAGACUGACUUGAUGGAGAUGGCCAAGGAGUUUCUGUCCAUGCCCUUCAGUAAGUCCCACCCAAUGCUGUGGAACACUGUGGUGUUGUCCUAUGGAUCACUGGUCUACAGGUACUGUACCUAUGAGUAUGGUCGGUCUUGUCCGGUGGCAGUUGUUCAGCCCCUGUUGGACCUGGUGAUCGAUGGCCUGAAGAGAAACAAUGAAUUGGACAUGGUGCUAGCCCUGAAGGCCAUUGGGAAUGCAGGCCACCCCUCCAGCAUUAAGACCAUCAGGCGCUUCCUCCCCGGAGUGUCUGCCACUCCUGUGACCCUCCCAGCCCGUGUGCUAAGUGCAGCCGUGCAGUCUCUGAGACACCUGGCAGUCAGAGACCCCCACAGCGUCCAGGACAUCACAGUGAGCCUGUUUGUGCAGAGGCACCUUCCCACUGAGAUCCGCAUGCUGGCAUGUAUGAUUCUGUUUGAAACUAAGCCACCUUUGGCUUUGGUGUCUACAGUGACUGCAUUCCUACUGGAAGAGGCUGACAUGCAUGUGGCUAGCUUUUCUUACUCUCUCAUUGGGAGCAUUGCCAAAUCAAGCACUCCGGACAACCACUUCCUCUCAACAGCCUGCAGUGUCGCUGUGAAAAUCCUGGCCCCUAAAUUUGGUCGUGUCAGUUACCACUACAGCAAAGCCAUGCACCUAGAUUGGUUUAAUGACGACUUCUUGAUUGGUACAGCCACUGAGAUCUUCAUGCUGAAAAAUGCUGCAAGCUACAUCCCAACAGAAAUAGUGACUAAAGGGAAAUUCCAUUUCAUUGGCAAAAUAUUACAACUUGUGGAGCUUGGUUUCCGUGCUGACGGAAUUAAGGAACUGUUUAGACAGAACAUUCAAGUUUUUAACGGCCAUCUCAGCUACGUUGACUUCGAGGCCAUAUUCAAAGUGCUGCAAGAUUGGAAGACAUUGCCCGGGGAUAAGCCUCUUUUGUCUGCCUAUACACGAAUCUUUGGUCAAGAGUUCUUCUUCGCGGAUUUGAACAAUGACUUAAUUCAGAGUGUUAUCAAGACUGUCAGUCCAUCUGCAGGCAAAGAGAGCCCAGUCUGGAGUAUGAUUGAAAAUCUUCAGAAUGGGAUGUCAUGGCACUGGACCAAGCCCUUCCUUAUGUUUGAGACCCGUUACAUCCAAGCCACCUCCCUUGGUCUCCCACUGGAAAUCAGCAAAUAUUAUAACACAGUAACAACCAUUACCGUCAAUGCUAAGGCUGCAAUCAGCCCACCACUGACUGAUCGCCUGGGACAACUGUUGACCUCAGAUGUUUCACUAGAGACUGAUGGAUUUGCUGGUUUCUCAAAGGACCAAUUUGUCUUCCAUGGGAUAAACACUGACAUUUUCCAGUGUGGUGCGGAACUGAAGAGUAAAACAGUACUUGCCAUACCAUGGGAAUUCAGCAUGAAAAUGAACGUCAAACAAAAAACAUUUGAAAUUGACCUUCCUGCUUGCAAAGAGGAGACUAAACUUUUCUCAGUCAAGUUUGACGUAUAUGCGGUCUCAAGGAAUAUUGAGGAGCCAUCACGUGCUAAAAUGACCCCAAUGAUGCCUGACUCUGUUGAGGCUAAUAAGGAUAUAGAGCCACCUAAGCAAAGAUAUUUGACCUCUGGACAAAAGAUUGUAAAAUUUGACAUUUACCAUCCACAAGUAAAGGUGUGUGCAGAGGCUAACAUCUAUGGGGCAGAUUUCUGUGUUGAGUUUGAGGCAACGAGAUCACACUACAUUGAUGAAUACCCCCUUUACUACUUCUUGGGAUACACCAACUUUGCAUGUACAAUUCAACCAGUCCAGUCCAACAAACCUGUUGACAAGAUUCACAUUGAGAUGAACGCCAGCCCAACCAAGUACCCAGUUAGUGUCCGCAACCUGCUUGACACCCUGCAGAAGCUUCCCAAGUACGCAACCAAGAGUUGCCAUCACUCCACUAGUUCCUCAAGCAGCAGAACAUCUCAUCAAGCAAGCUUCAAAGCCAAAGAAGCUUCUGCUUCUGAGGCUUGGAAUGGCAAUUCUGAACCAGUGUUCACCAUCAAGGUUCUGGCCAUGAGUGGCAACACAAAUCCAGAGGGUUACGAAGCAGCUGCUUUCUACACCCCUGCUGCCCAGAUGGACAACACCCAGCUGAUCGUGUCUCAGAUUGGGGCGGAGGCCAACUGGAAGUUGUGCACAGAUGCAAAUGUGGAUAAGGUCCGGCAGGAGCAGCUAAAGAUGCACCUUAGAUGGGGAGCUGAGUGUCAGUCAUAUGAGAUGUCAAUGAAAACUGCCACUGCACAUCUGCCUGGGUCCAGACCCACUCUGAAGGCCAAGAUUCACUGGAAGACUGUUCCAGGGUAUAUGAUAGAGCUUGGAAAAAGUAUUGAGAAGUACAUUCCAGGCAUGGCAUUCCUUUUGGGGUUUUACCAGAAACAUGCCACAAAUGCCAAACAUGAAGUUUCUGCAUCAGUUGUUGCAGCAACAGCAGGCAGCAUUGCUACAACGAUCAAGCUUCCUGAUGUGGUUGACAGUAUAUCAUCAGGCGAUCGCUAUUCCAAUCCAAGUGACCGAUUUUGAGGACGGUCAACAGUUCAUGGGAAACUCAACAUUGGAGAUGCAUAAAGAACUAUAAGAAGGACAACUAAAGGAACAGAAAUCCAUGACCAUGCAGUGAAUCUUUUCAUCAGCAAUGAGGCUAAUGGCAUACAUAGACAUUUCUAAAAAGUGAAGAUCUGGAGAAGGCAGACCAUAAGUCUUAUUUGUACAAUACGUGUUUUUGUGUUAAACUUUAAUUUGGAUAUCAUAUCUGAAAUCAAUAUUUUCAAAAAUCUACCUUCUUUCACUUGAAAGUUUGCCUAUUGAUGUGAAAUAAAAUGGUAAUCUGCAUCAUUCAAA